AAGAGAACACGGUGAGAAAGAAGAGAGUAACCAAAACCUAGAGCACUAUUCACUUUCAUCUUGUUUUGCUUGUAACUUUUGAUCUGGAGCACUGAUUGACGAGUCGUUUGCGGCCACGCGUAGCUCUCCUCAUCCUCUUCAAUUUUAUCCAAUAUUUGUGGGAUGCUCUAACAUGAAUUUCUAGUGAGUUCCAUCUAUAUUUCGUGUGGGUUAAGAGAAUUGUUGGGGCUGAAUUUGGUGUGGAGUGAAAUUUGAUUGGCAAAUUUGGGUGGCGGACCUUGGAGAUUGAGCGAGGAAAGGCUUCAAGAGUUUGAACCGCUGACAUUCAAAGUACGGGUUUGAGUUUCGAGUAGACAUUGUGUAAAGUUAUGUGAAUGCCUAGGUUAGUUGACCUUAGGAUAGGUGUGGAUUGAAAUUGGUUGUUGUUAUGGAUAGUGAAUGGCUAUAUGUAUAUGUGUAUUGAUUAAGAAUUAUUGUGACAUUAUGAAGUGAAUGACAUUUAUUGAUUUUAUUGUUAAUUGAUUUGGAUAUUGGGCCGGUCGUAAUAGGGUGAAGAAACCCCUAUGAGGUAAGUGAAGGUAAUCGGUGUGAAUUAUUAUAAUGGUGGUGGACUUGGUGAUUGAUUGGAAUUGAAUUUAGAGAAUAUUUGAAGGAUUGAAUCUUAAAAUGUUGAACUACUUGC